rnacentral:ncRNA from 1 species
UCAGCACGACAUCGAUGGCGACGCCAGUAAUUCUGGCGUGUGGAGAUAGGCUGACGAAAGUCAGGCCAGCAUAAGCUGCGAAUGGGGAACACCCAUGGUAUCUCGCAUGAGUUCAACAUUUCGCCCCUCGGUGCACAGAUGUCUGCUG